UGGAUUGGAACGGGUGGGUAUGGGGCAGGCGGACGUGGGCUGAUAGACAUGGGGUAGGUGGACAGGGGACAGAUGGACAUGGGACAGAUGGACACAGCAUGCAUGAAUAUGGAUAGACUGACAUGGGAUGGAUGGAUACAGGGCGGGUGGACAUGAGGUGGGAUGACGUGGGACGGGCAGACAUAGGAUGGAAGGGUAUGGAUAGAUGGACGUGGGACAGGUGGACACUGGGUGGAUAUGGGAUGGGCAGACAAGGGGUGGUGGAUGGACAUGGGGUGGACAGAUAUGGGAUGGAUGGAAUAUGGGAUGGGCAGACAUGGGAUGGAUGGACAUGGGAUGGACAGAUAUGGGAUAGGUAGAAAUGGGAUGGAUGGAUAUGGGAUGGAUGGAAUAUGGGAUGGAUGGAUAUGGGAUGGACAGAUAUGGGAUGGAUAGAAAUGGGAUGGAUGGAUAUGGGAUGGAUGGACAUGGGAUGGAUGGAUAUGGGAUGGACAGACAUGGGAUGGACAGAUAUGGGAUGGAUGGGCAUGGGAUGGACAGAUAUGGGAUGGGUAGAAAUGGAUGGAUAUGGGAUGGAUGGACAUGGGAUGGAUGGAUGGAUAUGAAUGGAUGGGUAGGCAUUGGGUGGACCUGCGAUGGGUGGACAUGGGAUGGAUGGUAUGGGAUGGAUGGAUAUGGGAUGGAUGGGUAUGGGAUGGAUGGACACAGUGGAUGGAUAGAUAUGAAUGGAUGGGUAGACAUUGGGUGGACUUGGGAUCGGUGGACAUGGGAUGGAUGGGUAUGGGAUGGAUGGACAUGGGAUGGAUGGGUAUGGAAUGAUGGAUAUGGGCUUGAUGGAUAUGGGAUGGAUGGACAUGAAAAGCUAACAAGGGCCAGAUGGACGUGGGGGGGUGGCCCAGCACCCCACCUCCCUCCUCGCACCCAUCAGUGCUGCGGUACCCCCACCCAGCACCCACCCGCCCCAUCCCCGCACCCCCCGUGCCCCACAUCCCCCUCCCCACGGCGCCCAUCCAUGCUGGCUUUUCCGGCCCAGCUGUCCCGCGGGGCGCGGGGGCCGGGGCAGGAAUUCGGCCGGGGCUGAGCAGCGCGCGGCAGCUCCGGAGACAGAGCAGCCUCUGAAUGCAGGGAAUGUUUUUGCAGCUGGAGUCCAUUAGGGGAGGGCUCGGCGGCUUUAUUAAUCCCAGCCUUAUUGCUCAAGAGGCGCGGGAGGGCAGGGGGAGCGCGGGGUGCGCGCAGGGGGGAGAGCGGCCGUGAGGGGGGGUGUGGGGGGCAUAAAGAGCAGUGAGUGUGCGAGGAGGGUCUCCCUGACGACGGCCGUCCCUCCGCCGCGGGGCUUUUCUGCACCACGGAGGCUGCCCCUCUGCAGAGGUUUCCCCGCAGUGGAGGUUUCCCCCGUUAUGGAGCCGUCCCCGUGACGGAGGUUUCCCCAUCACUGAGGUUCCCCCACGGUGGGGUUCCCUCUAUGGCAGAGGUUCCCCCGUUCUGGGCACUCCCGCACGGCAGAUGGUGGAAAUAUCCUCCUGGUGAAGGUCUCCCCAAUCGCGGAGGUUCCUCCCUGCUGGAGGUGUCCCCACAGCGGAGGUUUGUCCUACAGUGGAGCUUUCCUCCUUGAUGGAGCCUUCCCCGCUGAUGGACGUUCCCCCAUUAUUGAGGCUCCCCCAGGAUGGAGGCUUCUUCACAGUAGGGUCCCACCGAGAUGGAGGUCCCCCAUCGGUUUCCCCGUGACAGAGGUUUCCCAUAACCGGGGUUCCCCUAUGGUGGAGGUUUCCCCAUUAGGGAUGUUUCCCCGUCACUGAGGUUUCUCUGCAAUGGAGGAUCCCAUUGAUGGAGGGUCCCCUUAACGGAGCUUCCUCCCAUGAUGGAGGCUCCACUGAUGGAGGUUCCCCCAUUGAUAGAGGUUCCCCCAUUGAUGGAGGUACUCCCCAUAAGCGCGGUUCCCACUGAUGGAGGUUCCCAUUGAUGGAGGUUCCCAUUGGUGGAUGUUCCCCACUGAUGGAGGUUCCCCAUUGAUGGAGGUUCCCCCAUUGAUGGAGGUGCUCCCCAUGAGCGCGGUUCCCACUGAUGGAGGCUCCCAUUGAUGGAGGCUCCCCAGCGCAGCCCCCCACCCUGGCAGGCUAUGGGGCAGAGGAGCACUGGGAGGAGAAGCAGUGGGGCAGCGGUGUCGGGUUUGUGCAGACGUGGAGCUGUGUGGGGCUGAGCCCCCCGCGCUGCCCCCCCCGCUGCCCCCCCGCCUGCGCUCCCCUUCCUCUGCUUUGAUUUCUCAUUUCUCUUUUCUUGUUUCUUUUUAUGAUUUUUCCUUUCUCUUUUUUUCUUUUUCUUUGUUUCAUUCCCCCCUUUUCCUCUUUCUUUUUAUUUAUUCUUUUUCCUCUCUUUUCCUUUUUCUCAUUUCUUUUGGCUUUUCCUUCUUUUUCUUUUUCUUCCUCUUUUUUCCUUUUGUUGCUUUUUCUUUCCAUCUUUUUUUCCUUUUUUUCCUUUCUUUCCUUUUUUCUUUUCUCACUUUUUUUAGUUAUUUUCCUCUAUUUUUUCUGGUUUCUUCUUUCCUUUGAUUUUAUUUUUAUUUUUCUCUCUUUUUUUCCCAAUUUUCUCUCCGUUUUUCUUUUUCCCAAUUUUUCUUCCCCCCCCUUUUUUCCCUCUGUUUUUUCUUCCUCCCUCCCCCUCCUCUUCCUCCCCCCCCCCCGCUCCUUUCUCUCUCUCUCCCAUUUCUCUCCGUCCCCCUCCCCAUUUUUCCUCCCCUCCUCCAAAGCCGCUCCGCCAUAGCGGUGUCUCCGCACCCCAAACCCAACGGCGCACACCGCCCGUCCCGCCCCACCCCCGUUCGUUCCCGCAGCCCCACCUGCGCCCCCCCCCGACCCC
ensembl:lncRNA